CCCCAGCCCGCGCCCGCCCUGCAGCUCGGGCGUGCCUGGGUGGGGGGCGCGGCUGAGCGAGGCGGGGACCCUGGCCCCCUCCCGGGGCCUCCAGAUGAGCCAGCCCACGGCCGCCGCUCCUGUCCCCGCUCGCCGGCCGAAGCGGGGUGCGCCGGGCCCCCCAGUGGUCGCUGAGGCUGAGGCGCGCGGGCACCUUCCCAGGGCCGAGGUCGAAGCUCCGGGCUCCCCUGCGCCCUGGCCCCACCUGCCCGCCUCUGUCUCUAACACCUCCUGUCCACUCCUGUCGCUCCCUCGGGGCCCUCAUCUCAAAGAAUCAUCACGCACCUGACUCUGCCAGGCCCGGCUCCACGUGCUGGGGAAAUCGAGGGAACGGCACAACUUCCGGCCGACGUGGAGUCUACAUUCCAGACGGAGAGGCCAGGUGUGUGACAAAGCAGGCACCUGACACCGGACCUUGGGAGGUGGGACUCCAAGCCAGGGACGCAGAUCCGGGGUCACGCACUGUCCUCCCCUCCUCACAGCUAGCAGGAAGCAGGGCUCUGGAGAUAGGCGGGCGUCCCCAGCUGUGUGACUUCGGUGGGUUACUCGUCCCCUCUAAGCCUUAGUCUGUCACUGUGGGAUGGGAUGGUGACCUGGGCUCUCCAUGCGGGGAGGAGCCCACAGCGGGGCUCGCGGUGUGGCCGCCCUUCUCUGUCCCCUCUUUUGCUUGGUGGCUGCGGCAGGAAGCUGAGGGGCCUUUGCCUCCUCGGGCCCGAGGGGACACCCAGGUGGUGGGAGAGGCCUGGGGACCAGGCUGGGGCACUCGGGCGGUGCCAGGGAGGACAGCCUCCAGGGGAGGCCACCUGGGGGUCCCGUCAGCCCAGACGGGCGGCAGGAACCCACGAGGGUGAUGGUGGACAGAGGGCCAAGGGAGGGCAGGGAGGGGGACAGCUGGAGACGGAGCGUGUGGGGAGAAGAGAGCAGGGGUUCUGGGGCCACACGCUGGGGGGCCACAGGAGAGUGGCCGGCAGUGCCAAGAGCAGCUGUGGGGAGGGGCUGCCGUGGCUGGGAGGGGCACAGAAGAGUGUGAAGCUGCUGGAAGCAUCCAGAAGGAGCGCCUGCAGGUGAGAGGGGACAGCUGUGGCACCGGCGGGGUGUGGCAGAAGCAACGUUGCAGGGACCACUGAGCACGUCUGCAGCGUCACCUGACCCCAGGCCCCUGGCAUGCGGGAGAGGCCUCUGCUUCCCCGAGUGACUGAGUCCCAGGUCCUGACCUUUGAGCGCAUGACAGGAGGCCCUUUCUGCAGUCCCCAGGCCAGCCAGCGACUUCCUUCCCCUUCCCCGGCGGUUCUUGCUGUCCCCACGUGGGCUGUCAUGUGAGGCCGGCCUUGGCUCCCAGGCUGCCAGGUUCCACCGCCGGGCCCCCCUCCCCUGUCCCUGCGAGGCAGCCCCUCUUCUCGACAGCCGCCCUCCCUGCGCACACAGGCCUGCGUGUCCCCGCGGGGGGAGCCCCUUCCAGGCCCUUCGUCCCGGUCGGGGGACAGGGGCUUGUUCCCCUGUCCCCGAUGAAGAGACUCAGGCCACCCAUGGAGGAAAUUGCUCAAGGACACACACAGCACCUCCUGAUCUUGCUUUUUGCAAGUUAUGCAGAAGUCACAUCCCUUUUGGGGUGAUGAUCCCAGUCCCUGCUGCCUUCCUCCCACCUAAGGGCAAGGCUUCCCCCUCCUCUGUGGCCUGGACAGAGUCCCAGUGGGCAGGGGACCCUCCCUGAGCUUCCAGAUCCUGAGCUGGAGAAGCAGCCUUCCGCGGCCUUCCCUGUCCUUCCGGGCCCCGAUCCACUCUGUUGUUGCACCGGACAGAGACGUUCACAUCCUGAUCCCCACAACCUGUGUGGCACACGGCCCCCCAACGUGACUGAGGCAGUGAGCUUGGGGGGAGAUUGUUCUGGACUUCCCAGGGGCCGCUGGUCAGAGCAGAGAGUGGACGGUGCUGCCCUGCCGGACUGCAGAUGGGAGAUAACGCCGGAGAGGACUGCUGGUGGCCUCUUGGCACUGCAGACAAACAAGGACCAAGCAGGCGGAUCCACCCGCAGGGCCCCAGCCCUGCCCUGCAGAUGCCGUGGUACUCACCCUGUGAAACCGUGUGCAACCUCUGACUCCCAAACCGUAAAAUAAUAAGUCUGCAUCGUUCUAAGCCGCUACAUUUGCGGUCACUCAUCAGGGCUAAAGCAGUCCUUGUGUGGGGGUGACACACAAGGUGUCUAUUUGCUGCUGAAACAAAUUGCCACGCACUCAGUGGCUUAAAACAACGCAAAGCUGUAAUUUUACAGUUCUGGAGGCCAGAGCUCCAAAACGGGUCUCACUGGGCCAAAACCCAGGCGGGCAGGAUUGUGCUCCCUCUGGGGGCUCCGGGGACAGCCCUUCCCUCUGCCCCUCAGCUUCACUGCCACCAGCGUCCUCCCCCGUGGCCGGUCCCCUCGCGGAAGCCGGCCCCAGCGGCUGAGCGCUCCUCACAGCCCCGCACUCUGCUCCUGCUUUCCCUUCUCAGAGCCCCGUGACCACGUUGCUGGCGCAGAUAAUCCGGGACAAUCUCCCGGUGUUAAAGUCAGCUGUUCAGCAGCCAUGAUUCCUUCUGCCACCUGACACCGUGUGUUCCCGUGUCCGGGGGGCCAGGGCGUGGCCGUCUCCCGGGAGGCUGCCGCCCACAGUCGAUGUUCCACUGUUUUUACUGCUUGGCUGAAGACCGGUUGACCGUGUGUGGGUCUCUUCCAGGCGCCCUGUUCUGACGCAUCUGCCUACUCCUGUGUCUACACACCAUUGCCGCCGUCGGGACUGUAGCCUUAUAAAAAAAUCUUAAGUCAAGUAGGAUUCCUUCCUGAGGUCCCUGGUGAUUCACCUGCAAAUGAUAACAACUCACUAAACAGGUCUUGUUAACCCGACAUGACGCCGUUCACUUCCCGACCGCAUUCCCGGACAGCGUCACAGGAGAGGCGGAAGACCCUUAUCUCAGCUCAUGCAUUCCUGCCCGCCGACUGCUGGGCCUUCAGACCCAGCCGCGCUCUUUCAGCCAGUUGUCAACUAAAGGGUCCCUGACCCCACCUGUGACUUGCAAGCCCCCGCUUCGAGAUGGCCAAACCAAUGUACUGUACUGGUUUAUGGCUUUACCUGUAACCCCUGUCUCCCUGCAGUGUGUGAAACCAAACCGUUCCCGGCCACAGCGAGUCCACCCAAGGCUUCCUGGGUGUAGCUCGGGCUGGGGUCCUCAAAGCUGGCUCAGAAUAAAUCUCUUUAAAAUUA